rnacentral:rRNA from 1 species
ACUCCUACGGGAGGCAGCAGUGGGGAAUAUUGCACAAUGGGGGAAACCCUGAUGCAGCAACGCCGCGUGAGUGAUGACGGUCUUCGGAUUGUAAAGCUCUGUCUUCAGGGACGAUAACGACGGUACCUGAGGAGGAAGCCACGGCUAACUACGUGCCAGCAGCCGCGGUAAUACGUAGGUGGCAAGCGUUGUCCGGAUUUACUGGGCGUAAAGGGAGCGUAGGUGGAUAUUUAAGUGGGAUGUGAAAUACUCGGGCUUAACUUGGGUGCUGCAUUCCAAACUGAAUAUCUAGAGUGCAGGAGAGGAAAGUAGAAUUCCUAGUGUAGCGGUGAAAUGCGUAGAGAUUAGGAAGAAUGCCAGUGGCGAAGGCGACUUUCUGGACUGUAACUGACACUGAGGCUCGAAAGCGUGGGGAGCAAACAGGAUUAGAUACCCUGGUAGUC